rnacentral:lncRNA from 1 species
UUUAAUUGAAUUGCCUCCCCAUUUAAGAAACCAUCAAUCUCCUGUUUGUAUUUGCUUUUGUUUUCUUCUAUUGAAUCACUGAAAAGCAGAUGAGUGGGGCUAGAUUGUGUUCGUUAUUAGGAACCAUCAAUCACUGAGGUUGAAGAGGGGUUAUCGCAUACAUGGUUAGCCUAGGGUUAGGAUGAAGAUGCAGUGAGAUGACGAUACAGGGUUGAAGGUAAUAUUUGGUUUUAGAUCUGAACUGCUGAAUGGGUGAAUUCGUAUUAUACAUGUAAUCUGUUUGAAUCUUG